rnacentral:lncRNA from 1 species
UGCUGCAAAAGGACAUUUCAGAGCGCUUUCAACAAGCUAACUGUCCAGUGAAGUUCAGCUCCGAAUUCUGGUAACCGUUCAAGCCCUGUCAGUCCGGUAAAUUGGGUUAACUUAGCAACUCGGUGGUGCAAAGCCUCCCCAAAGACAAGACCGCAUUCAGGGAGAAGAGAACCAGCCUCAUGCCUGAGCCGAUCUUUCUUCCUUUGGUUGUCCUCCUUCAUUAUUAUUCUGCAAUGCGCAGCAAUCCCUAGUCUAACUAAGCCCUUGCAGCACUUGAGCCGGGGGCUGCCCUCCUGCUGGCCUUUCCGUCGUCGUUGAACGGAUCUGGGGGACGGGGACGUUGCAGAGGAGCCACAAUCCCCACUCGUUGUUUCCCCAAUGUGCUUUCCGAACUCCCCGAGUGCGUCUUAGAUAAGUUAUUUGAGUGAGGACAGCGCUGCGGUCCGCCUGGAGAAAGGGAGCUUCCUCCGCACUUCUACUUCAUCGUGACAGCAGUGGUCGCAGCGCCACUGGCCAUCUGGAGUCCUGGGAACAUUAAAGCGCUGUUACCCGCCAGGCGUUUCCGCCUAGGACACACUCACACCCACCCUCGGAGACUCCUAAAGGUUUCUCCGUGUCAAUUCAUGUGUCCUCCUCCCAGCAGCACACACGCACACACGCACAUCAACAGCCAAGUCAGCCACCCAGUUUCAACUUCGGGUUGUCCAUGAAAAUUCAGGGAGGCUGAUCUUCUUGAAGAAAUUAAUGAGUAUUCCCACAGGAAAUAGAUGUAAGGGAGGGGCGCCUGUCCAAACUACAGCAGGAGGGGGCCCUGACUCAAAUACAAAGGUUACCUUUCAGUGGGUUUCUCAGUCUUGCUAGUGUUGGGGGAAGGGUUUUGAUAAUGGUUUUGUCUAGGUGGGUUUUUGUUUGCUGUUAUUAUUUUGAAAAGACAUUGAUUUCCCUUCCCUCAGCCCCCUUUGUAAAGCUCUCUCAAGCUGA